GUAAAAAUAAUUAUUAAAAUAUCGAUUUUGUAAUCGAAAUUGGACUCCUUUUACC
rnacentral:tRNA from 1 species